UCCUGGUUAACCCAGGCAGUCUUCCUAGAGUGCCCAACUUAAUGCUGGCAACUAAGAAUAGGGGUUGCGCUCGUUGCGAGACUUAACCCAACAUUUCACAACACGAGCUGACGACAGCCAUGCAGCACCUCUCUCUCCAUUCUCUUGCGAGCACCCCAACCGUUACGUCGGGUUCGGAGGAGUUCAAGCCCAGGUAAGGUUCUUCGCGUUGCUUCGAAUUAAACCACAUAAUCCACCGCUUGUGCGGGCCCCCGUCAAUUUGUUUGAGUUUUAGUCUUGCGACCGUACUUCCCAGGCGGUGCACUUAACGCGUUAGCUACGCCUCUGAGGGAGUCAAUACCCCCAAAGGCCAGUGCACAUAGUUUACGGCGUGGACUAC
rnacentral:misc_RNA from 1 species